UGGAGAGUUUGAUCCUGGCUCAGGACGAACGCUGGCGGCGUGCUUAACACAUGCAAGUCGAGCGGAAAGGCCCCUUCGGGGGUACUCGAGCGGCGAACGGGUGAGUAACACGUGAGCAACC
rnacentral:rRNA from 2 species